rnacentral:rRNA from 1 species
AUUGAACGCUGGCGGCAGGCUUAACACAUGCAAGUCGAGCGAGCGGCGGACGGGUGAGUAAUGUAUGGGGACUGCCCGAUAGAGGGGGAUAACUACUGGAAACGGUGGCUAAUACCGCAUACUAUCGGAUAACCCAUAUGGGAUUAGCUAGUUGGUGAGGUAAAGGCUCACCGAGCCGACGAUCCCUAGCUGGUCUGAGAGGAGGACCAGCCACACUGGAACGUAGACACGGCCCAGACUCCUACGGAGGCAGCAGUGGGGAAUAUUGCACAAUGGGGGCAACCCUGAUGCAGCCAUGCCGCGUGUAUGAAGAAGGCCUUCGGGUUGUAAAGUACUUUCGGCGGUGAGGCGUUACCUACAGAAGAAGCACCGGCUAACUCCGUGCCAGCAGCCGCGGUAAUUC